UAGAUUGUUUACACUGUUAAAAUUGAGUUUUGCUUCUCAAAAUUGUGGUUGUGCUCUCAUGUUACAAGAGAAAUUGAAGGCUUCUCCUAAAUUGGAGCAACCAGCUAAAUCGGCUCCUCUAAAAUCUAUAAAGCCUCCUGAGUGGCCUAGUCCAUAACCUUCCCCUUAUCCACAGCCUCGACCCCAGCCGCCAAGGGAACCCCAAACCCCUCGGGGCGUUGAGAGGCGGACCGCUGUGAGUACAUGGAUCCACAGGGACCUGCAGAGCAGAGUCCGGGCGGACUCUGGUGGACCCACUCAAACUUUAAACCCUUCAGUACUGGUCAUUUUCCUCUGCUGGUAUUUAUAACUAGAAAACUAACCACCCCCUUUCUCAGGAUCCCCAACGCCUCACAGGGUUGGCGGAGUUCCUUAUGUUCUCUCAUCAGCCUACUUGGGAUUACUGUCAACAGCGGUUACAGAUGCCUUUAACAACCGAAGAGCAAGAGAGAAUUCUGUUAGAGGCUAGAAAAAUAGCCUGGGAGCCAACGGGCGGUCUACACAGCUACAAAAUGAGAUCGACAUGGGAUUCCCUUUGACUCGCCCCAGUUGAAACUGCAACAUGGCUAAAGCCUUUGUUCUCUAGGCUCAAGGUGCUCCAGUGAGUGAGACAGCGAGCGAAAAAGCAGCUCCAGGAGGCCUACUCAAAAAAAGAAGACCUGCUACAUUAGACGUCUCCACGCAGAAAACCUUGAGACUCCGGUGGAAAGGCCCUUAUCUUGUACUCUUGACGACCCUACUUUCUACCUUUAUGGGACCCCUUUUGAUUUUGCUUCUGCUUUUAAUUAUAGGUCCAUGUGUGUUAAAUAGACAAGUCACCUUUAUUAAAACAGAAAUUAGUGCAGUGUGGCUUUUAGUUUUAAGACAA